rnacentral:rRNA from 1 species
GACGAACGCUGGCGGCGUGCUUAACACAUGCAAGUCGAACGGAAAGGCCCUUCUUUUGUGGGGUGCUCGAGUGGCGAACGGGUGAGUAACACGUGAUUAACCUGCCCUUGACUUUGGGAUAACUUCAGGAAACUGGGGCUAAUACCGGAUAGGAGCUCCUGCUGCAUGGUGGGGGUUGGAAAGUUUCGGCGGUUGGGGAUGGACUCGCGGCUUAUCAGCUUGUUGGUGGGGUAGUGGCUUACCAAGGCUUUGACGGGUAGCCGGCCUGAGAGGGUGACCGGCCACAUUGGGACUGAGAUACGGCCCAGACUCCUACGGGAGGCAGCAGUGGGGAAUAUUGCACAAUGGGCGGAAGCCUGAUGCAGCAACGCCGCGUGCGGGAUGACGGCCUUCGGGUUGUAAACCGCUUUCGCCUGUGACGAAGCGUGAGUGACGGUAAUGGGUAAAGAAGCACCGGCUAACUACGUG